GUGAAUCAUCAAAUCUUUGAACGCAAAUUGCACUCUCUUCGGAGAGUAUGCCCGUUUGAGUGCCAGCCUAUAAAAAAUCGACAUCGUUGCUGUUCUGCGGUGACGUUUGUCGGAACUUGGGUCAUCUUAAAUACUUCUGGUUCUAAGUGACUUAAACAUUUCUCUUUGGUUCGAUAAACGCUUCUAAGAUUUAUUUCUUUACACGUUUAAGGUAUCGAUUUUUAUUAGACGUGAUCAUCAUAUCGGAUCGCGUCCAUAAUCCUUCAUUUACUGAUAUCAGAAAGGUAAGAGUACCCGCUGA
rnacentral:misc_RNA from 1 species